CCUACGGGCGGCACCAGUAGGGAAUCUUCGGCAAUGGACGAAAGUCUGACCGAGCAACGUCGCGUGAGUGAAGAAGGUUUUCGGAUCGUAAAACUCUGUUGUUAGAGAAGAACAAGGACGUUAGUAACUGAACGCCCCCUGACGGUAUCUAACCAGAGAGCCACGGCUAACUACGUGCCAGCAGCCGCGGUAAUACGUAGGUGGCAAGCGUUGUCCGGAUUCAUUGGGCGUAAAGCGAGCGCAGGCGGUUUCUUAAGUCUGAUGUGAAAGCCCCCGGCUCAACCGGGGAGGGUCAUUGGAAACUGGGAGACUUGAGUGCAGAAGAGGAGAGUGGAAUUCCAUGUGUAGCGGUGAAAUGCGUAGAUAUAUGGAGGAACACCAGUGGCGAAGGCGGCUCUCUGGUCUGUAACUGACGCUGAGGCUCGAAAGCGUGGGGAGCAAACAGGAUUAGAUACCCUGGUAGUC
rnacentral:rRNA from 1 species